UAACCAGUCCAGUUUGGUGUGUGUUCUGUAUGAGGGUGAAAUUAUGAUAGAGAGAAGAGCAAGGACGCCUGUUCUCUAAAGGAGAGCUCCUACCUCAUUACUUUGUUGCUGGGCUCUUGACCUUGGGUUGCCAGGUUAUACAUCUCCCCGACGGAAAGCUUCCUAUCCCACAUGUUGAGAUUUGCUAGCUCACCCACAUAAGCUUGUGUCGCGUCGAAACCUCCCCCCAGCGUGUCCUGUGGAGCAACAAGAUGACAAGUUCAAGUACGAGGACACCCUGCGGUUUGAUGGGAUGGUAUGGCGCCAGAUUCUCUCCACUGCCCCGCAGCACUCCGUCCUGAAACGCCUCCCACAUCCCGUCGCGCGUGGUCCAGGUGAUGCCGAUGUGAUGCCACUUCCCGUCGUUGAUGAUGAACGGCAACUUGGCCACCUGCAACAUGGACAGCGCACUAAUUACUAUAUGUUCAAAUAGGCCUGGCCUACAACUAAUGACUGCUACGGUUUUGAAUGUUUUCAGACAUAGCACUGGCUAUUAAUGCAAUAUUUGUAUAAUUAAGUUGCUUGUCACGUCUCCAUAACUUUCCCAGACAUUGCAUAAUGCUGCGUAGUUUAAUUUGCUAGUCUGGCACACCACAUGUACGCAUGGCGAUCUGUCCAUUUUGCCUAUAACCAAAUGCUGUGUAGAAUAUGCCAUUUCUGUCAGCGAUCAUUACCUUAUCAUUGAUGAGUAUCUCCAUCGGGUUAUUUCCCCACUCAAUCAGCACCAGCUCGUUGGCCUGCCCUGGGACAGCGUAGGAGAAAGGUGUGCCCACCCCAGGCGACGCGUUAGAUUUAAUCCACAUACACACGGUGAAGGCAUACAUCUCCGGCAGGGUUCUCUUGGCUUUGGCGUACAUGUAGUUGGUUCUCAACGGGAAUGUCAGCUGGAACUUGUCCAGUGGUCUGUUGUCUUUCCCACCUGCGGACGAAACAUAGGUCUACUUGUUUACCUUUCAGUGAUUUAUAUCAUUUGCAUUGCACUCAUAGGCCUGUUAUAGUCAGUUAUGUCAUAUCAUGCGAUUGAUUGAUUGGUUUAUCCGUGUACAUGGUUUGCUCCACCAGUAGAUAUUUUCGAUCCCUAAAUAAAGGUUUUCUCCUUUCUUUUUAGUUUGACGAUGCUCUGAUUUAUAUAAUUGGUUUAGAACAGACUGUGCAUCUCUCCCCUAGACUAUUCUCUGCGGUAUGAUGUGACCACGUGAGAAGGGCAAACAGGGACUCUCUCUCUCUCUCUCUCUCUCUCUCUCUCUCUCUCUCUCUCUCUCUCUCUCGCGCGCGCGCGCCAUCCCUUCCUAACCUCCAACCCCCUCAUUCUCCCAAUCCCUUUGGGGUUGUCAGUAAGGAACUAAACCUUGAUCGAUGUUCCAAAAUGCGCCUGUCUGUCUCCAACACAGUGCGCGCUUUAUCAAGCACUGCGCACAUCGUUAAAACCCUCUGGUAAAGUUCCUGCGCCGCUAUGUCCCCUACAAAACCAACGACUCUCGUUCACAGUCACUGGAAAUAAAGCGAUCAUUGGCUGUCGCUCCAUGACACGUGAAUUAUUAUCCCAGCGUGGCAUCACUGUGUUAAUAUGAUAUAUGCAAAGCAAUGCAGCUACCUCCUUCUCCCAUCUCCCCUUACGCACUGUGGUGAGAGCUGCGCUGCGGCACUGUCUGUAUUGACAAGCUACUGUGGUAUGCGGGUUUGGAGUGAAUCCUCAUGUGGGCCAGGCAAUUAACCAAGUGAAAUGCAGGGUUGUUUUUAGAAAUUGGCAUUGUUUUAGACAUAUAAACCAUUGAGCGAGCCAAUUCCACCACAUUUGGAUGAUUUUUUUUUUUUACUAUUAAAACUUUAUGCACACAUUAUUAUCAAAAUAAUGUAAACAGUUGAGUCUUUUUUAUAAUCAUUCACAUGAACAGAACUAUUAUAUUGACUGUGUACAUUUGGGCAUGAUCUCUUUGCCUCAUAGCUCACUCACCUUUCUCUAGGUCCGUUAUCCGGUGAUGCAUGGAAGUCAGCGUGGACUCUACUCGGUUCCGCUGGUCCGUAUCGUUCUUCUGACCCGGUUUGGUCUCCUCCAGGGUGUUGACCCGGGACAGCACCUGCUUCUCCAUAUCAUCAAUCUUGUUCUGAAGCAGGUCUUUCAGACUAUUCGCCUGGGCCGUACCGUUGUUUCGGCUGUAUUGCUGUAUAACGGAACAAGGACAGAGGAACAGACAAGAUGAGACGAUUAAAAUAACUCUGGGUUUAAAUAAACACUCCUACAUGUGCGAGGCGGGACUCGUCGUGGGUAAAGCUCUGGUGCUUAGCUCGUUUGUGGAGGGCUUACUGCCUCGGCAAUUUGCAUCAAAUGCAUAAAUUGGUCCAAAGAUGAGGCGUCUAUCUGUCCUUAUCAGGAGUGUGGCGCUGCUUUAUGUAGUGCUCUAGAGUAAUUACUUUGUCUGGAUGCGGAAAAAUAGCUUUAAAUAGGUCUAUAGCAAUAGUGACUGGACUGAAAUAACCCUAUAGCAAGCAAUUCACAACUAUAUAGAGCACUUAUAACUAGCACAUAGAGCACUAUUGGCUAUACAACCAACUGAGCCGAUUGGAAACGCGUAAAAAUGAUUCAAAGUUGAUUGAAAGCUCAACCUUACUAGCUCAAAAUAGGGAGAUCAAACAAACACCAAUGCAUACCUCAAGAUUCUCCAAUCUCUGUUUGAGAGUCUGUAAAGUCUGUCCUAGUUGAGCGAGAGUGUCCUGAGGACCCCUUGAUACGUCCCCCAUAGUGUUCUUGGCGCCCGGUACUAUUCUCCGGCCUCCCGCUCCCGCCUCGGGCAGACUCUGGCUCUCACACCGGCUCAACUUGGACGUUAGUUCCCUGAUUGUCUCCUUUUGGUUCAUAAUGGUCUCCUUUUGCUGUAACACGGUCUCCCUCAAUUGCAUCACUGUCGUCUUCAAGUCCUCCGCCGGACCGCUGUUCUGCAUCGUAGCCGCACACAAGUCCAUAUCCUUGGGCACAGACGUGCAAAUAAACUGGGUCUGUCCGAAAUCUUGCGUCGACCCCUCCAAAACCAAGAAAGAAAGUAGGAAAAGUUGCCAAGAGUGUCCCUCCCUGAUUCCAGGCAUGUUUCCUGGCGUGUGUGCGGUGUUGCAGCCGCUAAGUGUGUUUUCAGGCAGUUGGUUUCAACACCACGGAGCUAUCCCCUGUCUAUAGCUGUGAGGUUUCAGCUCUGCUUGUCCUAGUUUUUAUAGGCUAGCUACAGCCGGGAUGAGGGCAGCGUUGAGGCAGGUUCUCUGAAGCACAGUGGGGAGGAAGCAGGUUGUGCUGCUUAACCACGUCCAGCCUUUUAUUUAAGGUGGACCGGGGCGAUUGGAAGCAUAUUAUAUAUGUUUUACACCACUGCAUAACGUGAGUCGUGUACUAUUAUGUCCAUCAGGCAAUGCAGGACCGAGUAAGAUAAAGCACUGCCACUAAGCCUAUACUGUUUUCGGAUUGAGUUUCUUAGGCUGCUAUUAUUAUGGUCUGCAAUUCACAUUUACAAAUACAGAAGUGAGAAUAGGUGAAGAUGAACUGGUUUUACCAGCGGUAAAUAUCUUGUAGAUAUCAGUCUGCUUUACAUUCUUUACAUUCUGAAAUUGAACUGGCAUCCACCCCAACAUUUUUUUUUAUUAGAUUAAACUACAGUCGUUUCGAAGUCAUAUAUCAGUACAGUGCAUUGAAGUGAUUGAAUUUGAGCUAACUCGUGUAUUCCAAUUGGCCAAGUAUAGCCUAUGUGUCUGAAGUUCCACCUUAAAGGAAGCCACUCCCCAUGUCCCUAGAGUGAGGAUCCUGGCAGAGUCCCUCUCUCUGACUAUCCCACAGAGUAUUAUCUCUCUCGCUCUGUCUCUCUCUCUCGCUCUGUCUCUCUCUCCCACCUUCCACCAGUUGGCGUGUGUCUCAUUCAUCCUCUCUCUCACUCUCUCUCUCUCUCUCUCUCUCUCUCUCUCUCUCUCUCUGUUAUAGGAUUUUUAUGAAUAAUGACUAAAUAAUGUAUACAUUUAAUGCAGGAUUGUAACGAACAGAAUCCUACCCUGUCUGAUAAAGAAUGUUUCUACAUAGGCAAAGAGGAAGUGUUAACAGACAAAUUGUGACAGACAACUUGUGACCACUGUGAAACCAAUAACAGGAACCCCACCCAGGGCGGGGAGAAACCUUUAGGCUUGCAGUAGAUUGAGUAACAUGUGGUAGCAUAUGAUAAGCAAUAUGUAUGUGUUGGAAUGGACUUUUAAAACAGCUUUGUCAUUGUCAGAGAGGAGGAGGGACAUGUUGUACGCUACGACGCUAUGUGUGAUAUAUAAACUAAGGUACAUGUGAUUAUGAUCAGAGCUCUCGAGAAUAAACGCUAUUGAUUAAUUUGG